GACGAACGCUGGCGGCGUGCUUAACACAUGCAAGUCGAACGGAAAGGCCCUGCUUGCGUGGGGUGCUCGAGGGGGGAAGGGGUGAGUAACACGUGAGUAACCUGCGCUUGACUUUGGGAUGACUUCAGGAAGGUGGGGAUAAUACAGGAUAGGAGCUGCUGCAGCAGGGUGGGGGUUGGAACGUUUCGGCGGUUGGGGAUGGACGCGCGGCUUAUUAGCUUGUUGGUGGGGUAGUGGCAUACCAAGUCUUUGACGGGUAGCCGGCCUGAGAGGGUGAACGGCCACAUUGGGACUGCGAUACGGACCAGACUCCUACGGGAGGCAGCAGUGGGGAAUAUUGCACAAUGGGCGGAAGCCUGAUGCAGCAACGCCGCGUGCGGGAUGACGGCCUUCGGGUUGUAAACCGCUUUCGCCUGUGACGAAGCGUUAGUGACGGUAAUGGGUAAAGAAGCACCGGCUAACUACGUG
rnacentral:rRNA from 1 species